CGGACGGGUGAGUAAUGUAUAGGAACUUGCCUAGUAGUGGGGGACAACGCGCGGAAACGCACGCUAAUACCGCAUACGCUCUACGGAGGAAAGCGGGGGCUCUUCGGACCUCGUGCUACUAGAUAGGCCUAUAUUGGAUUAGCUAGUUGGUAAGGUAAGGCUUACCAAGGCGACGAUCCAUAGCUGGUUUGAGAGAAUGAUCAGCCACACUGGGACUGAGACACGGCCCAG
rnacentral:rRNA from 1 species